rnacentral:lncRNA from 1 species
UCAAUAAAUUGGGCUCUUUCCUUUUGACCAAAAGAUAUAUUUUUUCCCCAAGUAUUUCAUAAAAAACAAAUUGCUGAAGCAAUUCAAGCUGAUUAUAGAUAGUAUCACCCCAAUUGUCUAAUGGUCAGUACUCUUUGAGGUCAUCAGCAUGGUCUCUCCUUUCAUUUGGAAGACAGAAAUUCAGUGAUACAGUUGCCAUUGUAUCCUAAAAUCCACAUGCUGCCCAAAGUAGACCUCUUGUAUCUCACAUUAUGAGAAAUGUGAGGUCAAGGACAAGGGAAUCAAGGUAAGGAAAGCACAGUGGUCAAAGGACCCUUUGAAAAGCUCUAGCUGUGGUCGUUCUAAAACAAAACUGGUAACCAAAGCAAAUGAGCCACAGAUUGACUUACAAGAGCC